GAGUUCGUGCCUGGAUCUGAAUGAACGCUGGCGGCGUGCUCAACGCAUGCAAGUCGAACGAGAAAGCCGAAAGCUUGCUUUUGGCGAGUACAGUGGCGCACGGGUGAGUAACGCGUGGGUAAUCUGCCUUCGAACCGGGGAUAACACUUCGAAAGGGGUGCUAAUACCGGAUGACCUCCAGGUGUCUUCCGGCGCCUGGAUCAAAGAUGGCCUCUCCAUGGAAGCUGUUGUUCGAAGAUGAGCCCGCGUCCCAUUAGCUUGUUGGUGGGGUAAAGGCCCACCAAGGCGACGAUGGGUGCUGGUCUGAGAGGACGAUCAGCCACACUGGCACUGACCCACGGGCCACACUCCUACGGGAGGCAGCAGUGAGGAAUUUUGCGCAAUGGGGGUAACCCUGACGCAGCAACGCCGCGUGAGUGAAGAAGGCCUUCGGGUCAUAAAGCUCUGUCGAGUGGGAAGAAACCGCAUCAAGAGACAAGGCUGAUGCGCUGACGGUACCACUGGAGGAAGCACCGGCUAACUCCGUGCCAACAGCCGCGGUAAUACGGAGGGUGCAAGCGUUGUUCGGAAUUACUGGGCGUAAAGGGAGCGCAGGCGGCCUGGUAAGUCUCUAGUGAAAGAUCGGGGCUCGAUCUCGGAAGUGCUGCUGAAACUGAUGGGCUUGAGUAUGGGAUAGGGAAUCAGAAUUCCUGGUGUAGCGGUGACAUGUCUAGAUAUCACGCCGAACUUUCGUGGCUAAGGCUGCUUCCUGGACCAGUACUGA
rnacentral:rRNA from 1 species